AAAAAAAGUAGCGAAGUAUGUGAGCCAUGUGCCGAGAAAAGCCGCUAUUGUUUUAUAUGUGCCCGUACCGUAAACCGACACAGGUGGAUGAGGAGAGAAUCCUAAGGCCGACGGAAGAAGCAUUGUUAAGGAACUCGGCAAAAUGACCCCGUAACUUCGGGAGAAGGGGUGCCCACUUCAGGGUGGGCCGCAGAGAAUAGGCUCAAGCAACUGUUUAGCAAAAACACAGGUCUAUGCGAAACCGUAAGGUGAAGUAUAUGGGCUGACGCCUGCCCGGUGCUGGAAGGUUAAGAGGAGAGGUUAGUCGCAAGAUGAAGCUUUGAAUUUAAGCCCCAGUAAACGGCGGCCGUAACGAUAACGGUCCUAAGGUAGCGAAAUUCCUUGUCGGGUAAGUUCCGACCCGCACGAAAGGCGUAAUGAUUUGAGCACUGUCUCGACAAUGCAUCCGGUGAAAUUGAAGUACCAGUGAAGAUGCUGGUUACCCGCGCCAGGACGGAAAGACCCCAUGGAGCUUUACUCCAGUUUGGUACUGGGAUUCGGUACUGCAUGUACAGGAUAGGUGGGAGACUGAGAAAUUGGAACGCUAGUCUCAAUGGAGUCACUGUUGGGAUACCACCCCUGCAGUAUUGGGUUUCUAACCAGCCGCUGUGAUCCAGCGGUGGGACAAUGCCAGGCGGGGAGUUUGACUGGGGCGGUCGCCUCCGAAAGGGUAUCGGAGGCGCUCAAAGGUUCCCUCAGAAUGGUCGGAAACCAUUUUAAGAGUGCAAAGGCAGAAGGGAGCUUGACUGCGACACCGACGGGUGGAGCAGGUACGAAAGUAGGACUUAGUGAUCCGGUGGCAUAAAGUGGGAUUGCCAUCGCUCAACGGAUAAAAGCUACCCUGGGAUAACAGGCUUAUCACUCCCAAGAGUUCACAUCGACGGAGUGGUUUGGCACCUCGAUGUCGGCUCAUCGCAUCCUGGGGCUGUAGCAGGUCCCAAGGGUUGGGCUGUUCGCCCAUUAAAGCGGUACGCGAGCUGGGUUCAGAACGUCGUGAGACAGUUCGGUCCCUAUCCGGCGCGGGCGGAGGAUAUUUGAGGGGAGCUGUCCUUAGUACGAGAGGACCGGGAUGGACGGACCACUGGUGUAUCUGCUGUCGACCAACGGCAUGGCAGAGUAGCCAAGUCCGGAAGGGAUAAACGCUGAAGGCAUCUAAGCGUGAAGCCCCCCUCAAGAUGGGAUAUCCCUCACAUAAGUGAGUAAGAUCCCUUGAAGAGUACAAGGUAGAUAGGGCAGAGGUGGAAGCACGGUAACGUGUGGAGCUGACUGUUACUAAUCGAUCGAGGGCUUGACCU
rnacentral:rRNA from 1 species